GARCUGAAGAGUUUGAUCAUGGCUCAGAUUGAACGCUGGCGGCAGGCCUAACACAUGCAAGUCGAGCGGAUGAAGGGAGCUUGCUCCUGGAUUCAGCGGCGGACGGGUGAGUAAUGCCUAGGAAUCUGCCUGGUAGUGGGGGAUAACGUCCGGAAACGGGCGCUAAUACCGCAUACGUCCUGAGGGAGAAAGUGGGGGAUCUUCGGACCUCACGCUAUCAGAUGAGCCUAGGUCGGAUUAGCUAGUUGGUGGGGUAAAGGCCUACCAAGGCGACGAU
rnacentral:rRNA from 1 species